UGGGGAAUAUUGGACAAUGGGCGAAAGCCUGAUCCAGCCAUGCCGCGUGGGUGAAGAAGGCCUUCGGGUUGUAAAGCCCUUUUGUUGGGGAAGAAAUCCUGCUGGCUAAUACCCGGCGGGGAUGACGGUACCCCAAGAAUCAGCACCGGCUAACUUCGUGCCAGCAGCCGCGGUAAUACGAAGGGUGCAAGCGUUACUCGGAAUUACUGGGCGUAAAGCGUGCGUAGGUGGUGGCUUAAGUCCGUUGUGAAAGCCCUGGGCUCAACCUGGGAAUUGCAGUGGAUACUGGGUCACUAGAGUGUGGUAGAGGGUGGCGGAAUUCCCGGUGUAGCAGUGAAAUGCGUAGAGAUCGGGAGGAACACCCGUGGCGAAGGCGGCCACCUGGGCCAACACUGACACUGAGGCACGAAAGCGUGGGGAGCAAA
rnacentral:rRNA from 1 species